rnacentral:ncRNA from 1 species
AAGCCGGGUUACGGUGCCCAACUGCGCGCUAACCUAGAACCCACAAAGGGUGUUGGUCGAUUAAGACAGCAGGACGGUGGUCAUGGAAGUCGAAAUCCGCUAAGGAGUGUGUAACAACUCACCUGCCGAAUCAACUAGCCCCGAAAAUGGCUGGCGCUGAAGCGCGCGACCCACACCCGACCAUCUGGGCGAGCGCCAUGCCCC